rnacentral:rRNA from 1 species
GACGAACGCUGGCGGCGUGCUUAACACAUGCAAGUCGAACGGAAAGGCCCUGCUUUUGUGGGGUGCUCGAGUGGCGAACGGGUGAGUAACACGUGAGUAACCUGCCCUUGACUUUGGGAUAACUUCAGGAAACUGGGGCUAAUACCGGAUAGGAGCUCCUGCUGCAUGGUGGGGGAUGGAAAGUUUCGGCGGUUGGGGAUGGACUCGCGGCUUAUCAGCUUGUUGGUGGGGUAGUGGCUUACCAAGGCUUUGACGGGUAGCCGGCCUGAGAGGGUGACCGGCCACAUUGGGACUGAGAUACGGCCCAGACUCCUACGGGAGGCAGCAGUGGGGAAUAUUGCACAAUGGGCGGAAGCCUGAUGCAGCAACGCCGCGUGCGGGGUGACGGCCUUCGGGUUGUAAACCGCUUUCGCCUGUGACGAAGCGUGAGUGACGGUAAUGGGUAAAGAAGCACCGGCUAACUACGUG